GGUAAAAUGGCUGAAUUAGGCAAUAAAUUGUAAAUUUAUUUAUGAAAAUAGAAUUUUCUUUUACCA
rnacentral:tRNA from 1 species